GAUGAACGCUGGCGGCGUGCCUAAUACAUGCAAGUCGAACGCUGAAGGAGGAGCUUGCUCUUCUGGAUGAGUUGCGAACGGGUGAGUAACGCGUAGGUAACCUGCCUGGUAGCGGGGGAUAACUAUUGGAAACGAUAGCUAAUACCGCAUGACAACAGUUAUUGCAUGAUAACUGUUUAAAAGGGGCAACUGCUUCACUACCAGAUGGACCUGCGUUGUAUUAGCUAGUUGGUGAGGUAACGGCUCACCAAGGCGACGAUACAUAGCCGACCUGAGAGGGUGAUCGGCCACACUGGGACGGAGACACGGCCCAGACUCCUACGGGAGGCAGCAGUAGGGAAUCUUCGGCAAUGGACGGAAGUCUGACCGAGCAACGCCGCGGGAGUGAAGAAGGUUUUCGGAUCGUAAAGCUCUGUUGUAAGAGAAGAACGAGUGUGAGAGUGGAAAGUUCACACUGUGACGGUAUCUUACCAGAAAGGGACGGCUAACUACGUG
rnacentral:rRNA from 1 species